rnacentral:rRNA from 1 species
GAUGAACGCUGGCGGCGUGCCUAAUACAUGCAAGUCGAGCGAACGGACGAGAAGCUUGCUUCUCUGAUGUUAGCGGCGGACGGGUGAGUAACACGUGGAUAACCUACCUAUAAGACUGGGAUAACUUCGGGAAACCGGAGCUAAUACCGGAUGAUAUUUUGAACCGCAUGGUUCAAAAGUGAAAGACGGUCUUGCUGUCACUUAUAGAUGGAUCCGCGCUGCAUUAGCUAGUUGGUAAGGUAACGGCUUACCAAGGCAACGAUGCAUAGCCGACCUGAGAGGGGGAUAGGCCACACGGGAACUGAGACACGGUCCAGACGCCUAAGGGAGGCAGCAGUAGGGAAUCUGCCGCAAUGGGCGAAAGCCUGACGGAGCAACGCCGCGUGAGUGAUGAAGGUCUUCGGAUCGUAAAACUCUGUUAUGAGGGAAGAACAUAUGUGGAAGUAACUGUGCACAGCUUGACGGUACCUAAUCAGAAAGCCACGGCUAACUACGUG